GACGAACGCUGGCGGCGUGCUUAACACAUGCAAGUCGAACGAAGUGGCGAACGGGUGAGUAACGCGUAAUAAACCUGCCCUUCAGAGGGGGACACCAGUGGGAAACGACUGCUAAUACCGCAUACUGAUGGAGGGGAUGGGGUGUGAUUGGCUAGUGGGAGGGGUAACGGCCCACCAAGGCGAGGAUCAGUAGCCGGUCUGAGAGGAUGAACGGCCACAUGGGGACGGAGACACGGCCCAGACUCCUACGGGAGGCAGCAGUGGGGAAUCUUCCGCAAUGGACGAAAGUCUGACGGAGCAACGCCGCGUGAGUGAUGACGGCCUUCGGGUUGUAAAGCUCUUUUAAUCGGGACGCGGUACCGGAGUAGAAGGCCACGGCUAACUCCGUGCCACCGGCCGCGGUAUAC
rnacentral:rRNA from 1 species